rnacentral:tRNA from 1 species
GCACACAUACUCAAGUUGGUGAAGAGGGAAGUUUGCUAAACUUCUAGGCGGGAAACCGCACACAGGUUCGAGUCCUGUUGUGUGCG